CACGUAGGGGUCAAGCGUUGUCCGGAUUUAUUGGGCGUAAAGAGCUCGUAGGCGGCUUAGUAAGUCGGGUGUGAAACCUCCAGGCUCAACCUGGAGACGCCACCCGAUACUGCUGUGGCUAGAGUCCGGUAGGGGAGCGUGGAAUUCCUGGUGUAGCGGUGAAAUGCGCAGAUAUCAGGAGGAACACCGGUGGCGAAGGCGGAUCUCUGGGCCAUUACUGACGCUGAGGAGCGAAAGCGUGGGGAGCGAACAGG
rnacentral:rRNA from 1 species